AUUGAACGCUGGCGGCAGGCCUAACACAUGCAAGUCGAACGAGUGGCGGCCGGGUGAGUAAUGUCCGGGAAACUACCUGAUGGUGGGGGAUAACUACUGGAAACGGUCGCUAAUCCCGCAUACCAUCAGAUGAACCCAGAUGGGAUUAGCUUGUUGGUUGGGUAACGGCUCACCAAGGCGACGAUCCCUCGCGGGUCUGAGAGGAUCACCAGCCACACUGGACCUGAAACACGGUCCAGACUGCUGCGGGAGGCAGCAUUGGGGAAUAUUGCACAAUGGACGCAAACGUGAUGCAGCCGUGCCGCGUCUAUGAGGAAGGCCUUCGGGUUGAAAACUUCGUGCAGCUGGGAGACGUUACCCGCAGAAGAAGCACCGGCUAACACCGGGCGAGCAGCCGCGGUAAUUC
rnacentral:rRNA from 1 species